rnacentral:lncRNA from 1 species
AGAAUCACAAUAGGCUUAUAAAUAUACCAUAUUUGCAUAAGGAUUUCAAAGAAAUGAGGAAGUUAGUUGUGUUAUUAUCUUUAGGAAGAAUAUUUUGUGGAUAGAGAACCACCUGGACAAGCGUGGAAAGCAAGAAUAUGGCUAGAGACUUGGAACACAACAAGGUGUGAAUAUAACUGCUAUAAUUGGCUUGAACAUCUGUAGAAUCAUGACACAGCUGUCUGAAUUCUACUUAUGGUGAGAUGUGCCUUCUUCCAUGAUUGUGAGGUCUCCCCAGCUUCAUGGAACUGUGAGUCCAUUCAACUACUUUCUUUUGUAAAUUGCCAAAUCUCAUAUAUGUCUUUAUCUACAGCAUGAAAAUGAACUAAUACAGUAAAUUGGUACCCAUAGAGUGGGGCACUGCUGAAAGGAUAGAUACUCGAAAAUAUGGAAGUUGGAACUGGGUAACAGGCAGAUAUUAGAACAGUUUGGAAGAGAGGACUCAGAAAAAAGACAGAAAAAUACGGGAAA